ACUGUUUUGGCAGAUAAUAUGCGUUGGAUUUAGGAUCCUAUAAAAUAGAUUAAUUCUAUAAGCAGUU
rnacentral:tRNA from 1 species